GAUAUGUACACUGUCUUUGUUCCCUUCUGCCUUUUGACCAGAGAACAUGUGUUUGUGUGCAUCCAUUAGUCCAACUUCCACCAGCACCCUCUAGGUCAACAGCACUGGUCGCAGUCGUUGGGCCUCGACCAAUCCGGCUUGGGACUGGCACAGAAGUCACUGGCUUGCAACCCCUGUGGCUAGAUUCCUCAGUUUCUUCAAAUAAUACUUCUUAAACCUAAGACAAUGCCUCCUCUAGUUUGUAACGUUACUACUUCUUCAUCUUCCGAGCAUCUCCAAAUCCAAGCUGCUACUUCAACAUGAAAACGUGAACUUCAUGCCCAUAGCCAGUGUAUGGUUUUUCCGUUUUAGGCUGCUAAAAAAAACAUGGCAGGUCAACAUGGCAGCCUUCAUGACAGGAGACCUGCUCCUAUGUAGGUAAAAAAAAAAGGCUCAUUCAAGUUAAAGAAAAUGCAACAAUUCUUAUUUUCUGGUGAUUACACAGUAAUGAAAAUGUAAGUAUGCAUACUAUAACCCAUUUCUGAUAAUAAAUCCUUCUGA